AUGGCACAGAAAAAUGAAGUUUACUUUCAUUAGAUUGUAUAAAUUCUAUGAUAUUUCCCGUUACGUUUCUGUUAUGUCAGGAAAUUUCAGCGUGAGAGUUCAUUUUGUAGUAUUUAUUGUAGUAUUGCAUUGUUGAAAGAAAAGAAAAGAUAGAAGAAGGAAAAGGAUCUUUUAAAGACAACAAAGAUAUAUAUAUAUACAGCAUGAGUCACAAAAAGUGUGCUGUUAUUAAUUGUGCGGAACGAAAUAAACGGAUGUUUGCAUUUCCUAAUCCAAUUAAGGAUAAAAAACGGUUUUUACAAUGGAUAUCAGCAAAUGGAGAUCCAUCAUUGAUGACCAUUCUUCCGAAAAAAAUAAUGAAAAGGACAAACAGAGCCAAUUAACAUUGACGAACACGAAGUAGCAUGUUUAAAUACAAAUGAGAAUACUAUUACAAAUUUAUUAGAAAAUGAUCUACAAGCACCAAAUAUUACAGAAUGCAAUGAUUAUGACAAUAUCAGAGAUAUCUCUACAUGUUCAGGAGAAGAGGUGGCAGAAACAAGAAUAGAUAGAAAUGAAGAGAAUCCUGUAUCUAUGCCGAUAAUAAAGGAAAGAAAAAGAAAAGCGAAAGGUAUGAUAUAUAUAAUCACAAUAAAAAUAAUUAUCUACAAUAGUUUUAACAAAGAUAUGAUCAUAUACAUAAAAUGUAUUGGUCAUAUUUCUAUUUUAACGAAAGACAGAAAUCUAUAUAUAUACAUAUAUAUAUA
rnacentral:lncRNA from 1 species